rnacentral:rRNA from 1 species
CUACGGGAUGCACCAGUAAGGAAUAUUGCGCAAUGGAGGCAACUCUGACGCAGCCAUGCCGCGUGCAGGACUGAAGGCCUUAUGGGUCGUAAACUGCUUUUAUUUAGGAAUAAACUUUCGUACGUGUACGAGACUGAAGGUACUAAAUGAAUAAGCACCGGCUAACUCCGUGCCAGCAGCCGCGGUAAUACGGAGGGUGCAAGCGUUAUCCGGAUUUAUUGGGUUUAAAGGGUGCGCAGGCGGACUAUUAAGUCAGAGGUGAAAUCCCGGAGCUCAACUUCGGAACUGCCUUUGAUACUGGUAGUCUUGAAUACGGUUGAAGUAGGCGGAAUGUAGCAUGUAGCGGUGAAAUGCAUAGAGAUGCUACAGAACACCGAUCGCGAAGGCAGCUUACUAAGCCGAUAUUGACGCUCAGGCACGGAAGCGUGGGGAGCGAACAGGAUUAGAUACCCCCGUAGUC